AGUGAACGCUGGCGGUAGGCCUAACACAUGCAAGUCGAACGGCAGCACAGUAAGAGCUUGCUCUUACGGGUGGCGAGUGGCGGACGGGUGAGGAAUACAUCGGAAUCUACUUUUUCGUGGGGGAUAACGUAGGGAAACUUACGCUAAUACCGCAUACGAUCUACGGGUGAAAGCAGGGGAUCUUCGGACCUUGCGCGAUUGAAUGAGCCGAUGUCGGAUUAGCUAGUUGGCGGGGUAAAGGCCCACCAAGGCGACGAUCCGUAGCUGGUCUGAGAGGAUGAUCAGCCACACUGGAACUGGGACACGGUCCAGACUCCUACGGGAGGCAGCAGUGGGGAAUAUUGGACAAUGGGCGCAAGCCUGAUCCAGCCAUACCGCGUGGGUGAAGAAGGCCUUCGGGUUGUAAAGCCCUUUUGUUGGGAAAGAAAAGCAGCAGGUUAAUACCCCGCUGUUCUGACGGUACCCAAAGAAUAAGCACCGGCUAACUUCGU
rnacentral:rRNA from 1 species